rnacentral:rRNA from 1 species
GAACGCUGGCGGCGUGCCUAACACAUGCAAGUCGAACGGGACUUGGAGGGCUUGCUCUCCAAGUUUAGUGGCGAACGGGUGAGUAACGCUUGAGAAACCUGCCUUUCAGUGGGGGACAACAGUUGGAAACGACUGCUAAUACCGCAUAAAGUAUCGAGGGGGCAUCCCCUUGAUACCAAAGCUUUAUGUGCUGAAAGAUGGUCUCGCGUCUGAUUAGCUAGAUGGCGGGGUAACGGCCCACCAUGGCGACGAUCAGUAGCCGGUCUGAGAGGAUGAACGGCCACAUUGGGACUGAGAUACGGCCCAGACUCCUACGGGAGGCAGCAGUCGGGAAUUUUGCGCAAUGGAGGAAACUCUGACGCAGUGACGCCGCGUGCAGGAAGAAGGUUUUCGGAUUGUAAACUGCUUUAGACAGGGAAGAAACAAGACAGUACCUGUAGAAUAAGCUCCGGCUAACUACGUG